GAUGAACGCUAGCGGCAGGCCUAACACAUGCAAGUCGAGGGGCAGCAUAAAAUAAGCUUGCUUAUUUGGUGGCGACCGGCGCACGGGUGCGUAACGCGUAUGCAAUCUACCCUAUACUGAGGGAUAGCCCGGAGAAAUUCGGAUUAACACCUCAUAGUAAUUAGAGAUCGCAUGGUUUUUAAUUAAAGGUUACGGUAUAGGAUGAGCAUGCGUCCCAUUAGCUAGAUGGUAAGGUAACGGCUUACCAUGGCGACGAUGGGUAGGGGGCCUGAGAGGGUGACCGGCCACACUGGAACUGAGACACGGUCCAGACUCCUACGGGAGGCAGCAGUGGGGAAUAUUGCACAAUGGGCGAAAGCCUGAUGCAGCAACGCCGCGU
rnacentral:rRNA from 1 species